UUACGUGUACCACUAAAGCAAAUAUAAAAUAGAAUUUAUUAAUUAAUGUGCACGUCACUUAGAAAUCAUACUUUUAGAAGUUUAAUUAACUUUUGUCGUAUUAAAUUACAUUUGGAUGUCUAACUUGAUUUGCAUUGUGUUUAUUCACUUUGGCAUGUUUAAUAAAGUUUUUGGCUUAUUGAAAUGACAUUUUCAGCACUUUAAUUAACAGUUUCAGCACUUUAACAGUAUUUUCAGCAUUAUCAAGAUAACAUUGCAGCAUAUUUAAAGAGUCUUGAGCAUCUAAAAUGACGACUGACAUAGUAAAAUGAGUUCUCAACACAUGAAUGAAUUUUCAGCAUAUUAAUUAAUUUUCAGCUUUUUAAAAUAAUAUUUUUGGCACACUAUAAUCAAUUUUCACUAUUUCUGUUUGUCUUUUUGUUUGUUUCAUUAACUUGUACUUCAUAAAACAAUUUUUAGUAUCACGUAUUAAAAAAUGACUAUCAACGUCAUGGUGUGGUUUUUGGCUUUCAUAAUUUAAGCUAGCCAUGACAUUUUAUUUUUUGUACUAUCUCCUAACCUAUAGUUGGUGAGAACGUAAAAAGAAUCACGAGGUCGGAUUUUCAUAUGUUAAAUUAAAACAGUUUUGGGAGCACCACGUACCAAAGGUUUCAGAAAGCAUAGACUACGCAUGCAUAUAUAAAUAUUUUUUCACUUUAUUUUAAAAUUAUAAAGAUAUUAUUUUCACUCAAAACCGACCUCUAAUUAAAAUUGUUGCUAAGUUGAACGAGAGCAAUUAAUGAUAUUCGUUUCUAUAAAGCAACAAACAUUUUUUAGAAACAAAUAAGCUCGUAUUUCUUUAAGUUUUGAAUAUUAUUCCUCUAUCAAAUUAAACAUUUUUUUGAAACAAAUCUAAUAUUAAACAAAAAAACUCGUAUUUAUUUAGGUAAAUGGUUAGAGGUCGGGAGACCAUGAUCACGUAAGUAACCCUACGAAUCAACAAUUAAGAUAAGCGAAUUAACGAAUUAAAUUUAAUAAUGUAGCCUUGGGCUUUACUCCAUUGAUUGUUCCAAAAUUUUUAUUUUACGUAUUUACUUUACUUAAGUUACAAAUAUUCAAACUCUCUUUUGGUUACUCUCACAUAAAUUGGAUCUUAAUAGUUGAGCUGAAAUUUGAAUAGUUGUUAGAACAAUCUCUGUGGGAUCGAUAUUCGACUUUCUUAAAGGUCAUUAUAUUAUUUGGUAGACCAUGUACACUUGUGUGUGCACUGUUAAGUUUUUGGCGUCGUUGCUGGGGAUUUGGUCAUUGGCAACUGUUUACUUUUAGUUUUACUUUUAGAGUUCGUUGGUGUUUUUAUGCUUGGUCUUUGGGGUGAAUUUGCAGGAACAGGUACAGAUUAGUAAGCUGGCAAGGGAUUGGGAGUUGGUUAAAUCAGACCUCGAACCCGAGCAAAGUUUCCAUCAAAGACGGAGAGUAGAAAUCCCUCUCCCUCGUAUUUCGUAAAUCAAAGAAGAUCAAGAAAAUCUUGCUCCUAUGGCUGAAGAACAAGAAGCACGCAGGACAGUUCGUGAAGUGGGAAUCCCACUUCUGACAAAUCUGACCUCACCUUUCCAAAAACCAGCUGCUAGAGGGAGGUUCGAGCUGAAAAACAAUAUGGUGUAGCUUUUGAUUAGCAGUGGACAAUUUACAGGGCUGUCACAUUAAAAUCCACAGGCCCACUUGCAGAAUUUCAUUGAGCUACUGACAUAUUCAUUUCGGCGGAUGUGAAUGUUGAUUAUGUGAGGAUGACACUCUUACCUUAUUCACUAAUUGGGGAAGCUAAAAAGUGGUUGAACUCUAAGACAACAAAUUCAAUCACAUCAUGGGACAACUUGGCCAAAAUGUUCCUCAUUAGAUUAUUUUCGUCUGGGAAGACUGUGAAACUUUGUAGUGAAAUUAUGAUCUUUAAACAAAGGCCAGAUAAGAACCUCUAUUAUGCUUGGGAAUGGUUCAAGGCACUUCUUCGAGAUUGUCCAUAUCAUCAACAGUCCAAUGAGGUGCUUUCUCUUUCUUUUGUAGAAGCACUUGACCAUAAUACGAAAAUUUUGCUAGAUUCAGCUGCAGGUGGUCAAGCAUUAGAGCUAACUUAUGAUGAGCUGUACAACUUAUUGAACCGUAUUGCACGAGGAAAUCCAGAGUGACAUGGUGAUUCUAGGAGUUCCAUGCAGAAAGUCGCAGGUUUUGUUGGAGGUGGACCAAUGCAUCGCUUUAUUAGCUCAGGUUGCGGCAUUGUAAAAUUUAAUAAACAUUCAGUUCAGCAGCCUGAAAUUGAGAGCUACACGACCUACAACAGCAGCUAAUGCAGUUUAGAAAACUAGUGGUUGGUGUGAGGUUUGUGGAAACAGUGGUCAUUUUGCGGCCAUGUGUGCGGCCAAUCCUGAGUCUGCGAUGUAUGUCAGAAAUGAUCAAAGGCAAAAUUAUGGGAACGCUUACAACAUAAACUGGUAGACUCAGCUACUAAAUUAGCCUUGGAAAGCCCAAAAACAACAAAUUCAACAACCACAGGCACAAGGAAAUUAAUCAACUAGCAACACGAAAGAAAUGAUGGAGCAGAUUUUUGCUAAUCAAACACAGUUGGUUGCGGAUGUAAAGAAUCAACAAGCAACCACGAGAAGCUUAGAGUUGCAGUUGGGGCAGUUAUCACAGACAUUAAAUACCAGGCCUCAAGGUGGGUUGCCAGGAGAUACUAAAAAUUCAAAACAAGUUAUGACAAUCACUUUAAGGAGUGGUAAGGAGCUUUAAGGAGAACCUCCAAAGACAACUAAGGAGGUUGAUGAUGAUAUGGUGGUUGAAUAGGUAAAUGGCUGAGUUGCUGAAAAGUUGAGGAAGUUUGAGUACUCAAAAGAAAAAGAAAAAGUUGUUGCAGCAGAGGAGAAACAAAUACCACAACUCCCUUUCCCACACAAACACAAAAAAGUAAAGGAGGAUGCAUGUUUUAAGAAGUUCUUUGACACAUUUAGAGAGCUUCACAUUAACCUUCCUCUUUUAGAUGUUUUUUUAGGGUAUGCCCAAGUACGCUAAGUAUUUGAGGGAUGUGGUAGCUAAUAAGGUUAAGUUGCAGGAUGUGGUGGCGGUAGCACUCACCGAGGAGUGCAGUUUUGUGGUUACCCAAAAGAUGCUGAAAAAGUUUAAGGACCCUGGGAAGUUCACUCUCCAUAUUCAGAUUGGCAACAGAGAGGUAGUGUAGGCACUUAAUGAUUUAGGGAAAAGUAUCAACUUGAUGCCCAUAUCUCCGUUCAAUACAUUAGGUUUGGGGAAACCUAUACCUAACUCUGUACUACUGCAGUUGGCGAAUGGGACCAUAGCCCAUCCCAAAGGAGUGAUAGAGGAUGUCCUCAUAAGGUUGGUAAAUUUAUUAUUCUGUUGACUUUAUUGCUCUAGAUUUUCAGGCAGACGAAUAGGUACCAAUCAUCUUAGGGCAUCCAUUUUUAGCGACGAGAGGAGCUUUAAUUGAUGUGAGAGAGGGAACGCUAACAAUAAGGUUGGAGGAUGAAAAGGCGAUUUUUAAAGUUUAUAAGCCACUUAACACACUAUCCCACUAUAAAGACUUCUGCGUGAUUUCUAUGAUUGAGGGGGAUAAGUGUGGGGUGGUGGAGCCUGUUCCACGAAGAACCUCUUUGGAUUACAUCGUUGAGCGGUCUAAGCUAAAACCACUGCUUCCCAACAUGAUGAAGGUAUAUGAGCCUGAAAAGGCUAAUGUUGAAGAAUCUGUUGACCUUGAUAGUGUACAGUCAAGAGGUCAGAAACAAAAGAGAAAAUGGCUCCCAAAAGAGAGUAAAAAGAUGAAGGAAUUUAUUUGAGUUGAGUUGGGUCGUGGCGCGACAUUAAAUUAGGCGCUGCUUGGGAGACAAGCUGAGUUAAGUAGGUAUGUUUUAUUUUUCAGUUUUUAGUUUUUACUUCACGUAGUUUUUAUUUUUGUUUAGUCGCAGGUUGAUGGAAAGUCUGAGUACCAGAAAACUUUAGCUAAGGAGCAUGACAAAGACUGAGUGUGGGGUCUCCAGACCCCCUUGAUGCAAGAAGAUACUACUAGCUAGGCCUAGAGGCCUCACGGAGUAUUUUUAUCUCUACUUUUAAAGUAUACUUUGGGGACCAAGUUGAUUUUUAAGUAUGAGGUGGGAAAAUUCUUGUUUUUUUUAAAUUUUUAGGGUAAAUUUAAAAUUUUUUAGGUUAGGAAUAAGUAGGAUAUUUUUGUUAGUGCUAUAUAUGAUUGCAUGGUGCAAGUUUUUUGGUUGUAAAAUCAUGUUGAUUAUAAGAAUUACUACCUUUUAGACUCCUAGGUUCAUAUUUGUGACUCUUGUACAUGUGGCUUAAAAUUUGAAUUCAUGUUAUUGUUUGGUUAGGAGUCUAUGAUGAUCCUACGUGACUCGAACAUGUUUCAUGUGUGAUGUAAGGUGAUUGCAUAUUCCUUGUUGUAUGUGAUGUCUAGAACUUGUCCGGUGUGUGUAUAAAGAGAAAUAAAGAGUGUGGGUUUAGGAGAGAUGAUUUAGGCAUUUCUUUGAUAGCCAUGUGUUAUGCCUUCUUUUUGACCUACCCUUAUGCAUAAUCCUAGUAAGCCCCAUUGAGCCUUCAGCUUUUUCUUUGGCAGCCUCAAUUGUAGCCGAAUCCCUUCUUUGAUAGACCUUAAUUCGAUCCAAAAUCUCCUAGGCUCUUUAAUGAAAAACUAAUUAAGUAGGAAGUUUGAGAAAGAAGAAGAGGAAAGAUAAAAAUUGAAGCCCCUAAGUAAUAGUUAUUGGUGUUCAAAAAAGUUCUUAUGUGUUGUGGUGGGGAGUUAAGUAAUGAAAAGAAUAAAAAUUUGUUCAAAUUGAAUGAGUUGUGCAUAAAAUCCUCCCACCAUAGUGUAUGUAAAUGAGCUUAAUAAUAUGGGGUGAAAACAAAGGAAUGAGGUAGACAAAAGUGGUAUAAUUUGGUUGUUGGAGAACGGUUUUAAUUGUAUAAUGUAGUGUAUUAAAGUGCUUAGGGAAGAUAGUCACUAUUCAACCUAAAUAGUUCCUACUCAUCCCUUAGACUACAUUACAACCAUUAAAUACCUAUUUUAUCCUAAGCUUCAUCAUUCUGAUAUUAGUGCAGUGCUACACUAAGGGCAAGCCUAUGGUUCAUUAUGUGUAACUUGUGAAUUCCUUGUUAGAGUGAACACAACAUGAUUCUUGUACCUAUUAUGAUAAAUUGCAUUAUUGUGAGUGAUUAUGGGUAACUCUCUUUUUGUGAGGGACAUAUGUUUGAUGAAUGUGAUAAUUUGUAUGAUGUCUUUUAUUGAGAAAUAUGCAUGAGUUUGUCACAUGUUGAGUCAAGUCUUGAGGCUGGGAUGUUUUAGAUAGUGUUCAUAAGCUUUCACUUGUGUAUAACAUGCUUAGUGUAGAAACUAGCAUUCUGUGUAGUCAUUGUAGUGCUUCCUUGAGUGUAUUGUAUGUAGUAGAAGUGUAGAUUCACCUUAGCUUAUGAUGCUUAGAGUAAAGAGUUGUUUGAGGAAAAACAAGGCUUUAAGUGUGGGGUGGUAAUGUUGGAUGUAUUUAUGCACUCUAGUGUUACUAUUCUAGAUUUUGAAGCCUUGUUUUGAGAGAAAUUCGUGUUCUUUAUAUAAAAUGAUGAUAUAAAUAAGCAUAUAAGUGUCUAAGAGUGUGAUUACAAUGUUCGAAGUGUAUUUCAAAUAAGUUUGUACUUAAUUGAGUCAUUUAGAGUUCAAUCGAGAAAACUAGUUUUACUAGCUUGAGCUAGAGUUGGUUUCGUUGGGUUCUAAUGUGUUAAAUGAGUUUCAAGUGGUUUAAAUGUGUAGUUAUAUGUGGAAUAACUUAUUUUUAACUUUCAAAGUUCAAUUUGAUUAAGUCAAGAGUCGGAAAAAUAAGUUGAAGAUCAACAUGAACUAGCCUAGUCUUAGCUCUUGUUUUGAUUCAUCGUUAUCGAUAUUGUGUUGUUAUGAUUCUAAUCCAUGGCGUACGAUUAUAUAGGAAGAUUUGUAAGCUAAUUAUGAUUAUAUAUUAAUGAUAUAAAGGCUAGAAUUCCAUUGUAAAUACACCACAAUACAUGGGAUGAAAUAUUGGACGAUAAGGACUUGACCAAAAUUUUGGAUGUGAAUUCUAGUGAGCCGAUGCAAAUGCCCCAUGAUGCACCUCUCUCCAACGAUAUUACCACUGCGGCACGUUACUCUUACCAUGAGAUUUGCAAAGUGGUGUGUUGCUGAGUCCAUGAGAUAUGCCACGCGACGCGUUGGCUACUUCAAGCAUGGUUAAAAAGUGAUCCUUGUCCUACACGACUUAGGCUUGUUAGUCUAUAAUAUAAAUAGAACAUUGUCACAUUUUGUAAUCAUCUUGGACAUAUCUUGGAACGUCUUUGAGGACUAAGAGGUUGCUGCAACUUCAUCUUUUAGUUUUUUCUUACUUUAAUUUAGUUCAUUACUCCAUUGAUUGUUCCACGACUUUUAUUUUAUGCAUUAUUUACUAUACUUUAAGUUAAAAAUAUUCAAACUCUCUUUUGGUUACUCUCGUAUCAAUUGAAUCUUAAUAGUUGAACUGAAA
rnacentral:lncRNA from 1 species